GUCUGUGGCCAUACCACCCUGAACACACCUGACCUCAGAAGCUAAGCAGGGUUAGGCCUGGUUAGUAAUUGGAUGGGAAACAGUACAGUACUAAAAAGGACAAGAUU
rnacentral:rRNA from 1 species